GCCUCUAUAGCUCAGUGGUAGAGCGCGUCACUCGUAUUCCCGUAGUGCGAUAUGACGAGGUCCAUCGUUCAAUCCGGUGUGGAGGCA